rnacentral:rRNA from 1 species
AUACAGGGGGAUAACAGUUGGAAACGACUGCUAAUACCGCAUAAGCGCACAGGAUUGCAUGAUCCAGUGUGAAAAACUCCGGUGGUAUGAGAUGGACCCGCGUCUGAUUAGCCAGUUGGCGGGGUAACGGCCCACCAAAGCGACGAUCAGUAGCCGACCUGAGAGGGUGACCGGCCACAUUGGGACUGAGACACGGCCCAAACUCCUACGGGAGGCAGCAGUGGGGAAUAUUGCACAAUGGGGGAAACCCUGAUGCAGCGACGCCGCGUGAGCGAAGAAGUAUUUCGGUAUGUAAAGCUCU